GACGAACGCUGGCGGCGUGCUUAACACAUGCCAGUCGAGCGGAAAGGCCCUGCUUUUGUGGGGUGCUCGAGUGGCGAACGGGUGAGUAACACGUGAGUAACCUGCCCUUGACUUUGGGAUAACUUCAGGAAACUGGGGCUAAUACCGGAUAGGAGCUCCUGCUGCAUGGUGGGGGUUGGAAAGUUUCGGCGGUUGGGGAUGGACUCGCGGCUUAUCAGCUUGUUGGUGGGGUAGUGGCUUACCAAGGCCUUGACGGGUAGCCGGCCUGAGAGGGUGACCGGCCACAUUGGGACUGAGAUACGGCCCAGACUCCUACGGGAGGCAGCAGUGGGGAAUAUUGCACAAUGGGCGGAAGCCUGAUGCAGCAACGCCGCGUGCGGGAUGACGGCCUUCGGGUUGUAAACCGCUUUCGCCUGUGACGAAGCGUGAGUGACGGUAAUGGGUAAAGAAGCACCGGCUAACUACGUG
rnacentral:rRNA from 1 species